rnacentral:sRNA from 12 species
AAGAGGAAGCACCUAUGCAUCGCAGAUGCAUAUUAAAAUGGUGCUGACGAAAUGCCGCCGAGUGUAAGCGAGGGGGCGAUACCCAUA